GUGCCAGCCGCCGCGGUAAUACGGAGGGUGCAAGCGUUAUCCGGAUUCACUGGGUUUAAAGGGUGCGUAGGUGGGUUUGUAAGUCCGUGGUGAAAUCUCCAAGCUUAACUUGGAAGCUGCCAUGGAUACUAUAAAUCUUGAAUACCGUGGAGGUGAGCGGAAUAUGUCAUGUAGCGGUGAAAUGCUUAGAUAUGACAUAGAACACCAAUUGCGAAGGCAGCUCACUACACGAAUAUUGGCACUGAGGCACGAAAGCGUGGGGAUCAAACAGGAUUAUAUACCCUGGUAGUCCACGCCCUAAACUAUGGAUACUCGACAUACGCGAUACACAGUGUGUGUCUGAGCGAAAGCAUUAAGUAUCCCACCUGGGAAGUACGAUCGCAAGAUUGAAACUCAAAGGAAUUGGCGGGGGUCCGCACAAGCGGUGGAGCAUGUGGUUUAAUUCGAUGAUACGCGAGGAACCUUACCUGGGCUAGAAUGCACUCUGACCGUGGGUGAAAGCUCAUUUUGUAGCAAUACACACAUUGUAAGGUGCUGCAUGGCUGUCAUCCGCUCGUGUCGUGAGGUGUUGGGUUAAGUCCAGCACCGAGCGCAACCCCCAUCAGUAGUUGCCAUGGACUAACGCUGGUGAACUCUACUGAUACUGCCCCCGUAAGACGUGAGGAAGGACGGGAUGAUGUCAAGUCAUCUGGCCUUUAUGUCGAGGUCUACACUCGUGCUACACAGUGGCCUACAAAGGGCUGCCUUCCUACUCACACCAGCGAUUCUCAAAAAAGCCUCUCAAUUCGAACCGUAUCUGCAACUUGCUGGAUUCACCUGGAAUCACAUAGCAUUCUACAUCACACAUUGAUCAGUGUAAAACUUGCUAGGAGCUUGU
rnacentral:rRNA from 1 species